AUGCCUGUGAAAAUAAGAGAAAGGAGAACUUAUAUAAUAAACUAAAUGAAAAUGAUUUGAUCUGAUGGAGCUGAGUUGAUAAGAACAUGCAGGAAAGCAAAACUGUAGGUUUAACAGCGAAAGCUAAAAUCUGUUAGAGAAACAGAAAUAGUACCUCUAGAUUGUGCUACAUGAAUAUGAAAACAAAACUCCACAGACUGGGAAUUGCUGCAUGUUAUCCUCCACCAGAAAAAUCAGACAGAUUAGCAGUGAGAAAAAUAAAUUGCAGAAGUAAUUUGGAUUUAUGGCCAACUGUCACCUGAAAAUAUAAUGCUAGAUCUUGAAAGAAAAGCUGGAGCUUAAAUGUGAAAAUCCUAGCUGGACUAUUGCCUGGACUUUUUAAUAAGAUUAUAAUUACCCUGGAUUUGAGACAAUAGUUCUAACAAUGAUUUUGAGCCAACUUGAAUUUAAAUAAAGGUCUAUUAAAUAAA